CUACGGGUUGCUCCAGUGAGGAAUAUUGCACAAUGGGGGGGACCCUGAUGCAGCAACGCCGCGUGGAGGAUGACGCAUUUCGGUGUGUAAACUCCUUUUAUAUGUCAAGAAAAUGACGGUAGCAUAUGAAUAAGCACCGGCUAACUCCGUGCCAGCAGCCGCGGUAAUACGGAGGGUGCAAGCGUUACUCGGAAUCACUGGGCGUAAAGGACGCGUAGGCGGGUUGGAAAGUCAGGUGUGAAAUCCUACAGCUUAACUGUAGAACUGCACUUGAAACUUCUAAUCUAGAGUAUGGGAGGGGGAGAUGGAAUUAGUGGUGUAGGGGUAAAAUCCGUGGAUAUCACUAGGAAUACCUAAAGCGAAGGCGAUCUCCUGGAACAUUACUGACGCUAAGGCGUGAAAGCGUGGGGAGCAAACAGGAUUAGAUACCCGUGUAGUC
rnacentral:rRNA from 1 species